GUUCUUUAAAGAGUCCACACACACAAAGAUACGUCAAAAGAUCUAUCAGAUGUCAACGAAUCUAAUUUCAGGUAAAAAACAAAACUUGUCUAAAAUGGAAAGCAGCAAGGUCAUCUCUACUGACAAAGUUAUAGUUGUCAUCCAAAUAAAUCCACAGGAGGCAAAAGACAGCGCUAUUUUUGUUGAUGGACAGCAGGACAGAGGAACAAAUCUCAAUACAACGCUUAAAGAAUUUUUCAAAGCACAACCAAAGGCACUGGGGACUGUACAGAUAAUGAUUGGAGUGAUGGUCUUCUUACUUGGUAUUCUACACACCACAAAUUUCUAUAAAUACUCUGCUAUUGUUGUCUAUAGUGGCAUCACCUACUGGGGAUCUUUCAUUUACAUCAUCACUGGCUCUCUGUUUGUUGCUGCGCAGAAAAAAACUUAAUCCGUGUGUGGUGAAAGCCAAUCUUGGAAUGAAUGUGGUCAGUGCCGUAACUGCAGGACUAGCCAUUGUACUGAUGGGCAUACAAUUAAGAGUAAUAUCAAUGGAUCAUCCAAGUUUACAUGCUGAGAAAUUGCGGGUCGUUGGAAUAAUGCUGGUGUUCACCAUCCCUCAGUUCAUCAUCUCCACCUGUCUCUCAGCAUUUGCCUGCAAAGCUACCAGCAACAUUACUACCAGCGAGUCUACAGUCAUCAAUGUUUUACUAAACUAGGUAAACUAUUUAAUGGCAGUGAUGCUAUUAUUGCUAUUACAAGCUUGGCAAUCAGUUUUAUUACAACAAUCACUAGUUAUUUUAUUUUAGAUAAGCCUUUCUGUUUAAGUCAUUGUUUUUUACAGAAUGAUGCAAACA